UCGAGAGGCUUCGGCAAUGGGGGAAACCCUGACCGGGCGACGCCGCGUGAGGGAUGAAGGCCCUUGGGUUGUAAACCUCUUUUGUUCGGGAAGAAGUGCGAUCAGGUGAACAAUCUGGUCGAUUGACGGUACCGGACGAAUAAGCUCCGGCUAACUCCGUG
rnacentral:rRNA from 1 species